rnacentral:rRNA from 1 species
UACGAAGGGGGCUAGCGUUGCUCGGAAUCACUGGGCGUAAAGGGCACGUAGGCGGAUUGUUAAGUCAGGGGUGAAAUCCUGGAGCUCAACUCCAGAACUGCCUUUGAUACUGGCGAUCUUGAGUCCGGGAGAGGUGAGUGGAACUGCGAGUGUAGAGGUGAAAUUCGUAGAUAUUCGGAAGAACACCAGUGGCGAAGGCGACUCGCUGGACAGGUAUUGACGCUGAGGUGCGAAAGCGUGGGGAGCAAACAGG